AUCGGGUACAAUUCAUUAACAACAUAAUAAUAAUCCAAACAAUGUACUAAUUAGUAAAUAAUAUUUAAAAAAUAUUCUAAAUCAUUCACAGCGAUAUAUUUAUUACAUGUAAUUUUAAUCUUUAGGAAUUUUAAUAAUCGAAAAAUAUUUGAAAAUGUAAUAAAAACACUCUUAAAGUCAUAACACGGCAACGCACUGUAGCAGAUUGAGGGAUUUCUACGUUUUAGUAGUAGAAUAUUAGCAGGCAACCCGUACCAAGUGUGACUUUAGUAUAGAAUAUAAGUAGGCAACUCCUACCAAGGGGAUAUUUUUGCGUGUGUAUUAGUGAAAAUCGUAGGAUGACCACGUUCUGCGUGGUCAGAAAGCAACUGGCUCUAUCAUCGUUUCUACGGUAUAAUCAAUAAUGAUAGAGGAAGAGAUUUCACCAUGCGCAUGUUUGCUUUCUGUCAGAUGUUGCUACAUCACGGUUGACUUGUCGUUAUUCUUCGGCUUUUAAAUUCCCUACAAAAAACUGCUAAUGGGUUCACCAAUACACUCACAUUUAUUAUGUCAGUACUGACGAUCAAAUUACCCGGCAAUUGACUUUCAAUUUAUAUUGCUUACUAUAGCUCUACAUAUGAAAGAAUGAAAUAGCUGAAUUCUUUAGUACUGUCACUACUGACAGCCAAAUGAACAGUAAAAUAACUGUCAAUGUUUCCGAUUUUUCUAAAAGCAAUACAUUUCCAUAGAAGUUUCGAGAAGUUGUGAAAUACCUAUGUAGCUGUUAUUCCGUGCGAUAAGCCAAAAGUGUUGCGUACUCCUGUGCAAUAACUCUUUUUGUAUUAAAAAAUUAAAUAAAUAACGAAGGAGUUUUCAAAUAUCAUAUAAGAAAGUUUCAAAUAAUAUUAUAUUUUUAGUUAAUUUUCAUUUAUAUUUAGGCAUUUUUAAAUUCAUGAACUGGAGAAACACGUACAGCAGAGCUUUUGAGAGGAGCAAGCAUGGAAUUAAGUGAAAAUUUCGCAAUUUAUUUUUUAAUUAUAUUUUGGUUGCACUCCUUUUUUAAAUUAAUGUAUAUUAUUAUAACUAAUUUCAAUGAAAAGUUUUGAAUUUAGUAUAGACAUAAAAAUUAUAUUAUCUACUGCGCAAAAACAUUUUUCACUUGUGAUAGAGAUAGUCAGUCAUAACGGACAAAUGGCAGCUAUGAUAGCUUUUCGGUCAUAACUGACAAUUUUCAGCUUUGAUGGAUUUAUGGUCAGCAAUGUCUAGAUAUAUAGUGAAUCAAUUCCGAAUACCCAUGUCUUAAAGAGAGAUGCAAACUCGUACACAUACGUUUGUUUACAUCAGUUUUCGCACAAGGCUCUUAAGAAAAUGAUAGAAACUUUGUUCUGCGCAUUGACAAAAUUUUUUCAGCUGGGACUGCUAUAUUACCGGUCAGACGACUGUCACUGUUCUUGUAGGGUUGUGUUUUCAAUUGGGAAACUGUGUUUGUGAUACUUAGUACUUAACACGUACACUUAAUAAAACUACAGGGAAAUAAUUUUUAGAAUAAUGGCUUUACUAUCAAUAUAAAAGUUGUUAGAAAAUUCAUUAUUCUGAAUCUGCUUUCGCUUACGUCCAAUGAGCUAUCCGCCACACAAAAAAUUUCUCAGAAGCACUUGACUGUAACAGGAGCAGAAAGACAACAUUUUAAAAUAGCCCAAAAUUGUUUUCCUACACAAUUGCUCGAGUGGGUAGUUUAGGUUUGCUAAAUAACGAAAAUUGGGAGGAAUGCUAUCGACUUUUCAAAAUUACAGAUGACUGGUUUGCCAUAAUGAAUGUCAGGGAGCCCAAAGAUGGUGUAAGGCUUUGAACACCCAAAAUAAUAUAUUGGAACAGAUGACGGAGAUAGUUUCAUCAAAGAGCUCAUCAACUUGGUCACAACAAAGGAGCUUUUACAGAAGCAGGAAAUGUUAAACUCAAUAACACCCCGGAUUUGGAAGGGAAUUACUUAUAUCUAAAAGUUAAUUAUCAAAAUGUUAAAAGUACAUUGUAAUAUAAACCUGAGACUAAAGAAUAAAAAAUUUUAAUAUUCAAA